rnacentral:rRNA from 1 species
UACGAAGGGGGCUAGCGUUGCUCGGAAUUACUGGGCGUAAAGCGCACGUAGGCGGCUCUUUAAGUCGGGGGUGAAAUCCUGGAGCUCAACUCCAGAACUGCCUUCGAUACUGAAGAGCUCGAGUCCGGGAGAGGUGAGUGGAAUUCCGAGUGUAGAGGUGAAAUUCGUAGAUAUUCGGAAGAACACCAGUGGCGAAGGCGACUCACUGGACACGUAUUGACGCUGAGGUGCGAAAGCGUGGGGAGCAAACAGG